GAUCAAAAAUUUUUAAUGGAAAUCUACUGGGGUCCACAGUUUGAGAAAGGCUUCCACUCUUCAUCUGGGCAGUUUUUUUGGCACAUCCAGUUCCUGGGGCAAAGAGAAAGAAGAGAUAGGAGGAAAUAUAUUACCUCUGAGAUCAAUCCUGCUGUCCUGCUAGCACAAUUAUUUAAAUAUAUGGUGAUAUCCCAUAUCCUGAAAUAAAUCACUAUAUCUCUUGAGUACUACUAAUAAAAAUUUAAAUCCA